rnacentral:rRNA from 1 species
ACACGACUACAUUAGAUACCCGUGUAGUCCUAGCCGUAAACGAUACUCGCUAGGUGUCGGCCACGGUGCGACCGUUGUCGGUGCCGUAGGGAAGCCGUGAAGCGAGCCACUGGGAAGUACGGCCGCAAGGCUGAAACUUAAGGAAUUGGCGGGGGAGCACAACAACGGGUGGAGCUUGCGGUUUAAUUGGAUUCAACGCCGGAAAUCUUACCGGGACCGACAGCAACAUGAAGGCCAAGCUGAAGACUUUGCCGGAUUAGCUG